CGCGCGCGCGCAACGGCCGCGCUGAGGGCAGCGCGCGGGGCGCCGCGGCCGCCAUUGCCGGCUCGUCACAACCGAGACCCCUCAGUGGCCGCCAUUGCCGGCCCGGCACAGCCGAGACCCCUGAGGGGCCGCCAUGGCCGCCCGGUCACAGCCGAGACCCCUGAGGGGCCGCCAUGGCCGGCUCGUCACAGCCGAGACCCCUGAGGGGCCGCCCCCCUCACAGCCGAGACCCUGAGGGGCCGCGGGGCCGCCAUUGCCGGCCCUUCUCAGCCGAGACUCCUGAGGGGCCGCCAUGGCCGCCCCCUCACAGUUCGCCCCCUCACAGUUCGCCCCCUCACAGUUCGCCCCCUCACAGUUCGCUCCCUGCUCGCUCUGGGGACACCCGGCCCACGAUGGGGCCGCCGAGCCGCCCCCGCUCCGCUCCCGCCGGGCGCCCUUCCAGCCCUUCCCCGCGGGCUCCGCUCCCUCAGGGCGGCGCAGGAUCCCUCGUGUAAAACGCCUGAAUAAUCGUCCUCUCCCAUGGAGAGCUUGUUCCUCUGUAAUAGUCAAGCUGUUGGGAGUGUGGAGAGGCUGAGCAGUGAAUCCACCCAGACUGUCUCCCUUUGACUCUUUAGGAGGAACUUUUUGGAACAGUUCAUUUUAUAUAUAUUUAUUUGACAAAGCCCUAAAAUAUUAUAUAUCCAGUGAGUCUCCUCCUGCACAGUUUAUUUAAGUAAAGUAAACCUUUUUAAGACCUGAGGAAAGUGUCUGUGGCCUAAACCCUCCUUUGUCUCGCCCCAGCUGUGCCCAUUGGGCUGAAAAUAAUUUUAAAAAGAGGUUUAUUUUUCUCUACAAAGCUCUUUUCUGCUCCUCAACCACGAGGCCAAGGCCCAGGGCUUUGACCAUGAAUAAACAAGAGCUGCAAAUUAGGAAAUUAUUAACUGCCAGAGGUCAAGAUUCUGGAGGUCUUGCAAGUCAAGAGGUGGAAGGCAAGAAAAGAAAUCGGGUUUAAAGGAGAGGAAAUGUCUAAUUUUACUCCUCACUUUUGGCCAGUGUGGGUUGUGCUGAUGGAUGAGAGGGAGCAGGAAAAUGAAGGAAGAGAAGGAAUAAAACAUGGAAUAAGUGCUGAGGUUUUUCCCAGCAAACACACAGGGAAGGAGCUGAGCUGGGAAACGUGUUGUCAGCAUGACAUGAUCCAUCCAACACUCCCAAAUAUUCCCAGGUACAAAAUCUUGCUCUCACACCUCACAUUUGGGCAUUAUUCUGUCCAAAGACUGGACUUUUCUGGGGUGGAUGUUCCGUGAGGGCCUGAAACCCCACGACUGGAAUGUGUUGGCUUCCUCUCCUGCUCCAAAUCUCCAAACUCAGCUUUUCAGCAGCAUUCCCUGAUUAAUCUCCAGCCUGGGGUCACUCAGGGAAACCCAGAGCUUUGGAGCCCCUUGGAUUGUCAAACAAAAGCUCAAAUCAACACCAAGUCCCCAAAUCACCCAGGAAUUAACCCAAGGAGCCUCAGUGAAGGGAAGAACCUGCACGUGGGUGAAGAGAUUCCCUCUUGGAUGACAGUUUAAUUCACAACUCGUGUGACAGGAGAGAUUCCAGCACUGAGGAGGUGCCACCAGCCUGGAUAAAAGGAAUAUAAAUAAAUAUAAAUAUAUUUAUCACUUGUAGAGUGGAGAGGAGUGAGGUCGGUUUGGGUUGAAAGGACCCACUGGAAAGGAAAACUAAAACAACCUGAAGUUGUGAAAUUGUGGUUUCUUGCCAUGGUGAGUCAGAAAAUUCACUUUUACCAGCAACAUGCUGCAUUUCUGCCUGCCAGGAAAUCAGGGAAUACAAAAGAGAAAAACAUGUGCUUGUGUGUUUAGAGCCAUUUUUCUGUCCCCCUUUUCACCCCCUGGCAGGUUAUUCCCACCUGCCUUUCCUUCACUCCCGUGGUUUUUAAUCCCUAGAGCUCUAAAAAAGAAAAAAAAAAGAGGAUUUAUCACUUUUCAAACUUCUCCCACCGGGGUCUCUCAUCCAGGUGCUUGCCAAAAAAAUGGGAUGGAAAAAGUGCCAUGAGGGAAGCUCUAAAUAUCCACUCACAUUUACACAGUACUGUACAGAAAAACUUGGAUUAGAUCCAACUGGAAUUUACAGCAGCAGCAUCCCAGGUUUAAUUCCUUGUGUCUUCCUUGUGGGAUGAAAAUUUCUCGGACGGUCCCAAAUCUGGAGGAUCCUCCAUGAAAAAAAAAACCAAAAACAUAAAACCAGAGUAGUUCUGGGAUCUGAGAAGUGCCUGGGACAAAUCCUGUGGCAACCUGGAGGAGAUGGGAAGGUAAAAUUCCCAGCCUGGAAUCAAGUGGAGAGGAAGAAAUGUGAUUUUUUUUCGGGCUGUGAGGUGAAGUUCGGCCGUUAAAUCCACCCCGAGGGAAGAGCAGAGAGAUUGUUGUGAGCAUAAAACAACUCCUCCUGCAGCUCAGAUGUGGCUUUCCAUGGAUUCACCAUGGAAAAAAACCACCUCCUUAAGGUGGGAUCCAGGAGCAGAAGCUGUUUUGUCCAAUACACUGAAUAUUAAGUCCAAAUAUUGAUCCUCCAGAGGUGGUUUUCUGAGGCAGAAAUGAGGCCUGGAGCCCACUGGGGACACUGGCCAGUCCAGCAGGGUUGCUAGAGGGGUGCAGGGGAUUUCAUUUUAAAUUUUAAACCUAUUUUUAGGUCUCUAUUCCACUCAAAGUUAUGAUAUAAAUCCACUUUUAGCAGCAACAAUUCAGGUUUAUCCACACCCAGCUGAGUUUUGUCACUCCAUGUUUGGGAAAGGGACACCAACAAUUCUUUCUGUCCAAGAAUUUGUAGCUUUUUUUUUUUUUAGGCAAGUAACACCUAAAAUCAGUGUCUGAAAGAAGGGAAUUAUUUUUUCAAUUUGUUGCAGUUUUUAUAUUUCAGCUUUAAUUUAUCCUUUGUGGGGCUGCAGGUUCUUCUCUGUGUGGAAAAGACACAUAAACAUCAUCCCUCCAUCCAUCCAUCCAUCCAUCCAUCCAUCCAUCCAUCCAGGAACAUAAAACUUUAGACACUCAUAAAAAUCCUCUUAAAAAAUUAAAACACAGUGCAUACCACUCCCUCAGAAAGUGCACUUCUUGAAAAAAAAUAACUUCUAAAUUGACUUUUGUGUAUUGAAACAACUGACUGAGGUGGGAUCUUGAAGUGAAAAUUGGUGAUUUCUCCUUUUCACGGCUGAAAUUCCCUUUUCCUGAGGGAACUACUUGGAAAAAAUAUGAAGUUUCAUCCUCACAUUCCUCUAAUUUCAUUUUUUUUUCUGACAAUGUAGGCAGAGUGUCUUUGGAAAGAAAGAAAACAACCCAAAACCCCACAUUCUUGUGGGGUGGAGGUUGCUGAGGAGCCAGAGCCUCUCUGUUCUUCCAGGGUCCAAAAUUGAAGGAAAUUGAAGUUUCCUAAUCUUCCACAUCCAUGUUUUCCAGAACAGCAAUAUUUUCCAUGGGGUUGUGAACGUUUUUAAUGGAUUUGAUGCCCACAAAAGCUUUCUAAAGUCGGAUUUUUGCAUCAUUAUUAAAUGUUUUAUCAGUUUUAUUCACUGUAUAACUGCAAACCUCCCUUGCAGGGCCCGACUGCACUGUGGAAAGCUGAUGGGUUUUUUGUCUAAAUUCAUUAAAAAACAGCCUCAAAAAGAAAAGAGGAAAAUCAAAUUGAUGUGUUAUCAGUCAGGAGAUGGUGAAUUCACAGAGCCCACGAGGAGGUUUGUGAUUGUUCCUGGCUGGGAGCUCAAAUAAUUGAAUCAGGAAAAGUCCUUUCCUUAAUUUCAGUGGGUUGCUCAGCCCCUCUGACAGAGCCAGCUCUGCAGAUGGGAAUUCUAUUUGGGAAUUCUAUUUGGGAAUUCUAUUUGGGAAUUCUAUUUGGGAAUUCCUGCUGCUUCUGCCUCCAGGCAGUUCCCUGGCUGGGAGCUCAGCAGGGAGAUGUCACUUGGCAGAACCCAAAAAAAACUGAAGGUUUUUGGGGGUUUGGGGGGGUUUUUUCAUGCCCAGAAUUCACUUCAUAGAAUCCCAGGAUGGGUUUGGGAGGGACCUUAAAGCUCAUCCAGUUCCAUGAGCAGGUUGCUCCAACCUGGCCUUGAAAUCCUUUGUCGAUAAUAAUAAUAAUAAAAAUAAUAAUAAUAAUAAUAAAUAAAUAAAUUUAAAAUGAUGUUUCCAGAAAGCUGUGGAGCUCAAUGCUUGGUUGGUGCUUGUUAUUAACAUGCCAGUGAGAUGGAAGGGGGAGGGUUUUUUGCCAUCUUCACCCAUCCUGGGUGGGUGCUGUGGGUGCUCUGCUUUUCAUGCAAAGGUCUGGUCAGCAAAUACAUCCAGCAUGAGAACGGGUCUCAAAGGAGAACUAACCUUAAGAAGUAUAUAUUUGGUGCUUCUUUGUAGCAUUCAGGGAAAUAAAGAUCUCACCCGUGGUGGUUUUAACUCAGUGAAAGGAAAAAAAAAAAGAGCAGCUUUGUGUAUCCAGAGGAUCCAUCCCUGUCCUGAGGGAAAUCUUGCUCAGCCAGAAUUCUCCUGGAAAUAUUCUUGAAGUGGUCAAACAGGCAGGUGAUUCUCCAUCUGCAGGUGUCUGGGAGGGGUUUUACCUGAUCCCAGAAUCCCAGACUGGGUUGGGUUGGAAGGGACCUUAAACUCAUCCAGUGCCACCCCCUGCCAUGGGCAGGGACACCUUUUGCUGUCCCAGGUUGCUCCAACCUGGCUUUGGACACUUCCAGGGGUGGGGAUGUAACCUGGGUCUGGUGAAGUAACUUCCAAAUAAUUUUGGCCAGAGGGUUGUUCCUUAAUUUACUUUUCCCUCCCUCCUUUGCUCACAGGAUCCUCACGAGUUCCCAGAUCCAGAUUUCCAGAGUCAACGUCACACCUGAACCCAGUCCCGUGCCCUGCGUUCUCCAGGGGAGGGAUAUUCCAGGCAGGAAUGCUGAUGGAUGAGGGCCCUCAGGAGGGAAACUUCCACCAUUUUAGCAGCUUGUCUCUGCAGUGGGAGGUAUUUGACAGGGAGUGAUUGUCCAGGGCCGUGAUAUUGAGACAAAGACGAGGCGUGGAAACCGUUCCCGUCCGCGGGGCUCCUCCCGAACCCAGACCUUCUCAGGGUGGAGAAGAUGCUCCCAGGAAGGUUCUGUGGAGGCUGCCAUUCCAUGGGGGACUCCUUCAGAGCUCCCAGAGUGCCUUACACACCGGAAUGGAACAAAUCAGGGAAAAAAACCCAACCCAAAACGUGGCAUUUCCUCCCGGGAAUGAGGACUGAGGAGCUGGCAACGACUUUGCUGGGACAGCCAAGGCUGGAAGUGCUGCCGAGGCCGGUGGGCACUUGGUAUUUUCAGGAAGAAACACACACUGGCUAUAAAAAGGAGGGAAAAGCUCUUUUCAUUGCCUGUAUUAGUUAUUUCCUGGGGAGGAACCUGGGGGUGCAGCUUUAAAGCAAAACCGUCUCCGCGCUGGCCAGCAGCGAGUUCAGGUGGGUUUAUAAUUUAACCAACAAAAUAAAUCUCUUUCUGGGCUGGGGACUAAUGGAUUAGAGGGUGCUCUUAACUUACUACAAGGUGUGUAUUUGCACUGUGUCACAGCUCUCCACAGACCAUUCCAGAAACACACCAGAACCUGUCCUGAAAAGUGCUUUUCUUGGCCUGCUUUGUUUCGUGGGGUGGUUUUUGUUUGUUUGUUUGAUUGUUGUCCUUCUUCUUCUUCUUUUUUUUUUUUUAAGGUAAAAUGUUUCCAAAAAGGUUAAAGAGCUUUGCAUCUUGGAGACAGAGGAGGCAGGCUCUGGGAUCUUACAGGACUUGGAAUAAGAUGGUGACAAGGUUUUGUCCCAAAAGGUCAUUGCCGUGGGUGGCUGCCAGGCUGUGUCCUUCCACUCCAUCCAUCCACCUCCUGCUCCCAUUCAGGACAUACUGGGAAGGAACAGAGAGAGACAGGAGUUAUUUUUAGGCAGCAAACUGAGGAAUUCAGAGGAUCCCAGCCCAGCAAAAUGUUCUCCAAAGGCCUUCCAUAACCUGGGAAGCAGCUGCUCCUUGGAGGUGGCUUUGCUGGAGGGCAGCUGAUGUUCAAGGCAAGGACCAAAUCCUGGGUGUGACCCCAAAUUGUCAUCCCCACCCUCACCUCCGACCCCAUUUGGUGCCUCCCAACCCCUGGCUGAGCUUUGGAAGCGGGUUCAUUCCAUGCCAAGACCCAGACACCAGCAUUCCAACCCUUAUUUUGGAGCCAGAGGCUGACCCAGCACUCCCUUUCCUGGGCAGAGGUUGGGAUGUGCAGCCUCUCCUGCACCCUCCUGGUCCAAAGCACUGUCCCUCCAGCCCUGGGCCAAAGCCAUCCAUGGAUUUAUAGGUCAAUUUUCCUGGACAGAUGCUAAAGUCAAACCACAGCACGUGGCUGUGACCCUUUGGAAGCUGCUGGAAUUGCUCCUGACCCAUCCUGGGGCCUGGCUGGUUGUUUAUCCAUCGGGAGCACAAUUUGGUGACACGGCAGCCGAAAGGGAAGGGGAGGGAAGGGGGGGCAGCUGCUGCCGAGUACGUGCUGCAGCCCGGCAGCUGCUCCCUCAUCCCGGGAUUCGUGGCAGGACAGCGAUUCCAAAGCCAGAGGGGAAGAAAAAAACCCUUCCUUACCUUCCCA